AGGCCCUGACGGAUUACCGGGCAGAGCUCCGGGAUGACCCAAUCAUCAGCACGCACUUGGCCAAGUUGUAUGACAACUUACUGGAACAGAAUCUCAUCCGAGUCAUUGAGCCUUUUUCCCGAGUACAGAUUGAACACAUAUCUAGCCUCAUCAAACUCUCCAAGGCCGAUGUGGAAAGGAAAUUAUCACAGAUGAUUCUUGACAAGAAAUUUCAUGGGAUCUUGGACCAGGGGGAGGGCGUCUUGAUUAUUUUCGAUGAACCCCCAGUAGAUAAAACGUACGAAGCUGCACUGGAAACAAUUCAGAACAUGAGUAAAGUAGUGGAUUCCCUCUACAACAAAGCCAAGAAACUGACAUAGAAUUGGAUCUGUAGCGGUCCUUUGGAGAGUGUGUGUGGCGGGAGAGUGAAACCUUUGGGGAAAAUGCUAGGAGAUUCUUUUUUCUUUCUGUUCUACUUUUCGCUCGGAAAGUUUUUAAAUCCUCAUUUGGUGCAUCUGUAUUCCAGCCGAUAGGUGUGCCAGUUUUCAUGUAAUCUUUACUGGCCCAACUUGGGAGUGGGGAAAUUGCUUAAAAAAAAGAAAAAGAAAAAAAAAAAAAAAGGUUAUUCUAAAUAAAAGGAAAAAGGCUUACACUACCUAAAGCUGUGCUCUCUGCCUCCUGGGAGAGGGCUGCAAAGCCAGGCGCUCCGCCAGCCACUGGGGCUCCUGACCCACACUCGCUGGGUAUCACCUCGCCUCCUCUUCAGAAUUGGGUGUUUGCCUGACCAUCAAAGCAACGACUUUUUAUUCUGUUUGUACGGAACCAAAACAAACAACUGUGUAUAGACUAUUUUCUUUUUUAUUUGAAAUGAGGCGUUUCGGUGUUCUUUCCCCUGCCAUACGGCCUGUCCACUCGCCUCUCCCCCGACAUGGCUCCAGCAGACUGGCUGAAGGUCCCGCCGCCGCCGCCCCGCCGCCGCUGCAGCAGCAGCACCUGCUCGGCUCCGCUCCGACCUGUGAAGGACUGCGGAUGAGGCCAGGAGCUAGUGUCCACCUCGGCCACACGGGGAGCAGCGUGGGCCCUCUGGGGGCCUGCUGUGCAUGUGGCUCUUUUUAACACAGUAAACUAGAUUAGACGUCAGUGUUUUAAUUGCUCCCCCCUCUGCUUUUUUCUCUGUCUCCCUCUGUCUCCUCUCAGCCAGGAGACCAUCCCAUGUCUCUCUUUGCUUCCUCCUUCUCCCUCCAGGGAGAAAUUCUGAAAUUCUUCAGCUUCUCUCUCCGUCCCACUGCUCCUCUCCUGCUGGCAGAUGGAUUUAUUCCUUUUUAAAACAGUGAACAUUGGAAAUGAGACUGUGGGGUGUGGUUUUUUUCUCCCAGUUUCGUUGUUGGGUUUUCGCGCAACCUCAUGUCCCCCUCCCAGGGAGCUUCUCGAUUUACCUCUUAGAAGUGGGUGGCUGGGAGGUAGAGCACUGUACUCCAGCAUGCUUGGUUUAACGAUGAGAUUCCUUAGCAAGGCUUUAAUGCCGUUUGGGCAGGUAAGCUUCUGCACCUCUGUUGUGCUCAGCUCUGUUUUCUUCUUUCUCUCAUGUCCUCUUUGUCGUCCCUCCCGCUGCCCCCGCCUCCUUCCCGCUGGCCUCCUUUUCUCUUUCUUUCCCUUUCUCAGAUUAUCCUUCCAGGUUUUCGUAAUAAAUUUAUAUUUUGUAAAAGGAUUUUGUUGUACCAGGUUUUGCAUCCUCACUGAAUCUGACUGGCUUUUGUUUUCCUCUCCAAAAUCAGGUAUUUGUUCUCAACAUCUUUCCCCAUCAUGUCCAGUCACUGUUUUGGUUUUGGCACCAUCAAUAUCAAAUGUACAAACGGUUCUUGCUAACCAACACCAGGUAUAUCUGAUGUUCAGAUGAGUUCCAAUAAAAACAAUUUUUUUU
rnacentral:lncRNA from 1 species